CAGUAUUUUUACGUUUAUUCCCAGCAAAUGUUGUUGGCUUUGUAUUUAAAGUAUUUAUGAUUCACUACAAAGUGCAGGAUCCAAGAAAACGCGCUAGUUUCACUUGGCACCUGUGGGUGUCCCGGGGAGCUCUCCAAGGAGGGACUGGCUCCUGGAAGUUCCUGGGGUGCGGCACCACCACGGACGAACCAAGCUCCACCGAGAAGCCGAGAGCCGCGACCGCCGGGACGCCCUCUGCCAGGCCUCCACCGCCUCAGGGGCCCUUCACAGCCACUGCCUUCCCAAGCCCACCAGUUAUGACCAGCGUCGCUCAGCGCCCGGCCCACCCAGCGACCUCAAACCUCGCGACACUCGCAACUCCCGCGGCCCUUCCUGCUGCAGGCCUCCUGGGGCGAGACAUCGGGAAGAUGGCUCCGCCCACGGAAAGGAAGAUUGCGUUCUCGCGAUAUCCCAGUGACAAUUCGGCAGCCCGUUCUCGCGGGAUUUUCCAAGGCCGGGAUGGAAGUUGCGGGGUUAGGAGACUGAGGUCAGAUCCUGAGGAGGAGAUUUGGGGGUCGCAAUGCUGGCCUCGUGUUCUCCACCGGCGGCGGCGGAGCCCGAAAGAACUAGGUGAACACCGCCUUGCCAGCCUCACACAGCGUCCCGUGGCUCUGCCGCCGCUCCGGACGUCGCCCUCCCGUUCUCCUCGGGUCCCCUUAGUCGCUGCCUUAGCUGGGAUCCCCCUCCUCCUUCCCGCGGCUUCGGGUUGCCGGAGAGCGAUGCUCGGAGGGCGACCGGAAGUGGCGUUGGCCGCCAUUGGCCCACUGGCCAGCCACCUCGCUGUCCUCCGCCUUCCGGGUGUUACGUGCAGCCGGGCUCGGCCCCUCCCCCUGGCCGGAUGGAUCCCUCGGCGCCACAGCCCUGCGCGGAAACCGCGGGCAAAGACAUAUGGCAUCCAGGAGAAAGAUGUCUUGCCCCUUCUCCAGAUAAUGGAAAACUUCGUGAAGCAAGCAUAAAAUCUGUCACAGUGGAUGAAAAUGGCAAGUCAUUUGCAGUUGUCUUAUAUUCAGAUUUUCAAGAAAGGAAAAUACCUCUUAAACAGCUUCAAGAAGUAAAAUUUGUUAAAGAUUGCCCUAGGAAUCUUAUAUUUGAUGAUGAAGAUUUGGAAAAACCUUAUUUCCCAAACCGAAAAUUUCCAUCAUCUUCUGUUGCUUUUAAAUUAUCUGACGAUGGAGACUCUAUUCCUUAUACCGUCAAUAGGUAUUUGAGAGACUACCAAAGAGAAGGAGCCCAGUUUCUUUAUGGACAUUACAUCCAUGGAAGAGGGUGCAUUCUUGGUGAUGACAUGGGACUUGGAAAAACAGUACAGGUUAUUUCAUUUCUGGCUGCAGUUUUGCAUAAAAAGGGAACUCGUGAGGAUAUUGAAAAUAACAUGCCAGAGUUUUUACUAAGAAGCAUGAAAAAGGAGCCCCUUUCUUCUACAGCAAAAAAGAUGUUCUUAAUAGUUGCUCCUCUUUCUGUCCUCUACAACUGGAAGGAUGAAUUGGACACCUGGGGAUAUUUCAGAGUCACUAUUUUACAUGGAAACAGAAAAGAUAAUGAACUAAUUCGUGUAAAGCAGAGGAAAUGUGAAAUUGCUCUAACAACUUAUGAAACACUGCGCUUAUGCCUGGAUGAACUUAACAGUUUGGAAUGGUCAGCUGUCAUUGUGGAUGAAGCUCAUAGAAUCAAGAAUCCAAAAGCUAGAAUAACAGAAGUUAUGAAAGCUUUGAAAUGUAAUGUCCGCAUUGGUCUCACUGGAACCAUUCUUCAGAACAACAUGAAGGAACUGUGGUGUGUUAUGGACUGGGCUGUGCCAGGCCUUUUAGGGACUGGGACCUGCUUCAAGAAGCAGUUUUCUGACCCAGUGGAACAUGGUCAGAGACACACGGCCACAAAGAGAGAACUGGCCACUGGCCGAAAGGCCAUGCAGAGACUUGCCAGAAGGAUGUCCGGCUGGUUUCUCAGGCGCACCAAGGCUCUUAUCAAGGAUCAGUUGCCUAAGAAGGAAGACCGGAUGGUGUAUUGUUCUUUGACAGAUUUCCAGAAAGCUGUCUAUCAAACAGUGUUAGAAACAGAGGAUGUGACUUUGAUACUUCAGUCUUCUGAGCCUUGUACCUGUAGGAGUGGCCGAAAAAGGAGAAAUUGUUGUUAUAAGACCAAUUCUCAUGGUGAAACAGUGAAAACCUUGUAUCUCAGUUACCUUACAGUCCUUCAGAAGGUAGCUAACCAUGUCGCGCUACUGCAAGCUGCUAGUACUUCCAAACAACAGGAAACACUUAUCAAAAGGAUAUGUGAUCAGGUAUUUUCCAGAUUCCCAGAUUUUGUGCAGAAAAGCAAAGAUGCAGCCUUUGAAACACUUUCUGACCCUAAAUACAGUGGAAAAAUGAAGGUCCUUCAGCAGCUUUUAAAUCAUUGCAGGAAAAACAGAGAUAAAGUUCUUCUCUUUUCUUUUUCCACCAAGUUGCUUGAUGUGCUACAGCAGUACUGUAUGGCGUCUGGGCUUGAUUACCGACGACUUGAUGGAAGUACAAAAUCAGAGGAAAGACUCAAGAUUGUAAAAGAGUUCAACAGUACACAAGAUGUUAACAUUUGCCUUGUCUCUACAAUGGCUGGUGGACUAGGCCUCAAUUUUGUCGGUGCCAAUGUUGUUGUAUUAUUUGAUCCUACUUGGAAUCCAGCCAAUGAUCUUCAAGCCAUUGACAGGUUACAGAAUGGAAGUGAGAAUGCAGUACCUUACCCCUGGCGGUGCUGCGUCGCAGGAGCCACCAUUUCCUGCUGGAGAUGUAAGAUUUGCACGAUCCAGAGAUGUCCUCCAGUAAAAGUCCUUUGUGAGGAGGGAGCAUACAGGAUUGGACAGUGUAGAGAUGUCAAAGUGCUUAGGCUGAUAUCCUUGGGAACUGUGGAGGAAAUCAUGUAUUUACGACAGGUAUACAAGCAGCAACUUCACUGCGUGGUGGUUGGGAGUGAAAAUGCCAAACGAUAUUUUGAAGCAGUUCAAGGAUCUAAAGAGCAUCAAGGAGAGCUUUUUGGGAUCCAUAACCUCUUCAAACUGAGGUCCCAAGGGUCUUGUCUUACAAGGGACAUUCUGGAGAGAGAAGGCCAGGUGGAAGCAGGGAUCAUGACAGCCACAACAUGGUUGAAAGAGGGACCUCUAGCACACAAACUGGAAAUGCCUGGAGAGCCUGACUGUCAGGAAUGCAGAGGUCCAGAACAAGCUGCAGAGCCACUGGCAAAGGAAGUGUGUGAUCUCUGCAGCGACUUCAGUGAUGAAGAGCCCGUGGGAGCCGCAGGAGUAAAGACUGCCAAAAACAGAGCACCCGAUUCAAAUAAAGCUUCCAGCUCUCCAGGACAGCUUACCUUACUCCAGUGUGGUUUCUCAAAAUUGUUUGAAACAAAAUGUAAAGCAGUUGAGGACAGUGAUGGAAAUACCGCCUCUGAUGAUGAAAGUUCUGAUGAGCAGCCCACAUGCCUUUCAACAGAAGCCAAAGAUGCUGGUUGUGAGAAAAAUCAGGACUCUCUUUGUACUUCAAAAUAUCAGAAAUUAGAUAACAUCCUAAAUCCAAAAGAAAAGCAUAUUUUUUAUAAAAGUGAGAAGACUUUAGAACAGACUAUUUCUUCUAAGUCUGAUGAGAACAAAUUUAAAAAUACAGAUAAACAUUGCAUUUUACAGAAUGACACAGAAUCAGAAGACAGUGAUGUCAUCUGUCCUACACAGUAUACAACUGAGAGAUUCCCCGACAAUAGUACAAGGUUUAAGCCACCCUUGGAGGUUUCUGAGGAUUCUGAAACAGAGCACUCUGUAAAAACAAGAAAUAAUGAUAAUGGUCGAAAGACUGAUGACAAAAGAAAUGGAAUAAUUUCAGAAAAGUUAAGUCCUGAGAACACAACCCUGAAAUCUGUUGUGAAAAGAAAAGGCACCAGCGAUAUCAGUGAUGAAUCUGAUGACAUUGAAAUUUCUUCCAAGUCAAGAGUAAGGAAGAGUUCAUUGAGGUUUAAGAGAAUAAAGGAAACCAAAAAAGAACUUCGCAAUUCUCCCAAAACAGUGAACAAAACAAACCAAGUAUAUGCAACAAAUGAGGAUCAUAACUCUCAGUUUAUUGAUGAUUAUUCAUCCUCAGAUGAGAGUUUAUCCGUCAGCCACUUCAGUUUCUCUAAACAGAGCCAUAGAACGAGAACUGUAAAAGACAGAACCAGUUUUUCUUCAAAAUUGCCUAGCCAUAAUAAGAAAAAUAGCACUUUCAUGCCAAGAAAACCAAUGAAAUGUUCAAAUGAGAAAGCUGUCAAUCAAGAGCUGUCAUAUGAAUCAAUGGAUAAAUUUUUAGAUGGCGUUCAGGAAGUGGCUUAUAUUCACUCAAAUCAGAAUGUGAUUGGAUCGAGCAAAGCUGAAAAUCACAUGAGCCGAUGGGCAGCACAUGAUGUAUUUGAGUUGAAGCAGUUUUCCCAGCUGCCUGCUAACAUAGCUGUUUGCAGUUCUAAGACAUAUAAAGAAAAGGUGAAUGCAAAUACAUUGCCACACACAAAGAAAGGCCAGCAACCGAGCGAAGGCAGCGUUUCACUUCCUCUUUACAUUUCACACCCUGUGAGCCAAAAGAAGAAAAAAGUCUACCGUACAAACCAGACCACCUUCAUAAUUGGAGAAACACCAAAAGGAAUCCGCAGACCGACAUCAAACACUUCCGGAGCUGGCCGGCCCUGAGGUAGCCUGGCCUGGCAGUGCCCGUCCCUGUGCGUGGAGAGGAAGAGCAGCCGGAGCUGCUAUUGUCACCUGCACGCAUUGACCGUGUGAUCAACACAGCAGCCCCAGGAGGUACCUUUGAUCAUAAACCUCCUUCUCAAACUCGUUCUGGAGGAAGCCAGCAGCCAUGUCAUAAGGAAGCUCAAGCAGCCAUAUGGAGAGCCCACAUGGGAAGGGACAGAGACCUCCUGCCCACAGUCGUGGAGAUGAACCACCUUGGAGGCAGUUCCCCCAGCCCCAACACACAGAUGAUCAGUCCUGCCUGACAUCUUCACUGCAACCUCACGAGAGACCCCAAGCCACAACUUCCCAGCGGAGCCCACAGAUGUGGUGUGAGAUGAUGUGCUUGUCGGCUUCAGCUGUUAGGGCUUUGGGGUGAUUCAUUAGCGGCACUGGAUAACUCCUGCACUGCCUAAGUGUGAGGGCAAAGAAGGUGGAGCAUGGGGCGGGUCCCAAUGAAGGUUGGGCAGGUGAGCCCUGGCAGAGGUGCAUGGGGCCGUGUGGUGGAGCGAUUAGUGGCUUGAGAAGAAAAGAUUGAAGUGGGGCCAGAGGAAACGGAGGAAUCACAGCACCAGAGGUCCCCAUGGAAGUAAAGAUGUGGACUGAGGCGUAGAGAAGAGAGUGGAGUUUCCUGUUUGAGAGAACGUUUCUGGGUGGAUGCAGCUCAAGGUGUGGCAGAGUUUGGGGAGGGAGGGGGACAGUAGAGUCAUGACCCCUGGACAGUGAAGCCAGCCAGGGCAGCCAGGGCAGCAGUGGGACUUGGCUUGGGGAGAAAGACCCACCUUCCAGUUCCUAAGGCCUCAACCUACAGGGGAGUGGUGGGGACUAGAGAUUACAGGUGGUAAAGGGGGCCUCUCGGGGUGGCUUGACCCUGCAGGGAGGUUUUCCCAAAAAGAGGAGGCAUAGCUGCCUGUAAACACCCAAGAGAAGACUCCAAAGGCCAGCUCCACCCCUUCUGGCUGCAGACGACAGGGAGUGAGAAGAGUCUCUGUCCCCAGGGCUGCACAGAGGAUGGUGUGGCCAAGAGAGAGCAGGCCACAGUGGACAGGCAAGCAGCAGGACUGGUGCUGAGUCACUCCACAGUGUCGAAUCUACUAUCUGCAGGACGCCAGGGACACCAGAAAAAGAUGUGGUCCAGGCUGGGCAUGGUGGCUCACACCUGUAAUCCCAGCACUUUGGGAGGCCGAGGCAGGAGGAUCAUCUGAGGCCAGGAGUUCAAGACCCGCCUGGGCAAUAUAGCAAGACCCAUCUCUAAUUAAAAAAUAAAAAAUAAAAAAAAGACCUUAUCCAGAGGAGAAACAGGCAGCAAAGGCAGUCAAGCCCUCAGAGAAACUGGGUCUCCAAGAAACACAGUCCUGCCCUCCCUCAGCCCCCCAACAAUAGCUCUCUAUUCCCUGGGGGCCUCCUAGCUGCAAUGGCCACCAGCCUCUGCGCUCUUCCUGCUCGUGUCCUCAUGCCCUUUUUCUGGGCAUCACGUCCUCCCUGGGCACGACUCUUCCAGUGGAAGUGUCUGCUGCUGUGGUCAUGAGACAUGACCUGGAGUCACUGCCCUCUCUGGGCCUGGCUUGUCGGCUAGAUCCUCUCUGCCCUUGGGUGAGCUUUCCCGGGAGGCCUUCGGUUCCUCGUGAACCAAUUCUCAUGAAGGCCUGGCCUCCGAUUCCAGGCAAGUCUGAAUCUGAAGUGGUAGAGCUCAGGGCCAGGCGCGGGUGCCCUCGGAGCUCUGUGUAUCUCCCCGGAAAUCCUGGGAUCUGUCCCUAUGUAUUUAACCCCACUAAGGUUCCUCAGUCCAGACCUACCCACAAGGCCAAGGGCUUUCACAAGGACAAUGGUGACACCUGGGUGGUCCCUGCCCCCCAUGGCUCUCGUAUCCGUGUGCGUGGGCCACGGCCACACCUCAUGGGGAGGUGACCGGAGCCACAGCAUCUGCAGAGAAUGAACACUACUGCAUGACAAAGCCAGCGAGAAACGCCUUCUGCAAACCACGCUGGAAGUGAAAGGAGACGCGAGGCGUGCCCUCGGCCAUCAGUUUUACCCCUUUGAUUCUGCAGUUGUUUAAUGUUGAGACAAGUCGACUUGAAGCUGUAUAAUAAAUGAAUUCCAGCUUGAGCCUUGGCAGGGUUUGUUUGGCUUGAGGGAAGUCGUUUAUGCUAAUGGCCCCCUCUGCAGAGCUGGAUUUAUAUUAUACAGAGUCUUGUCCAUCAUCUGGAUGCCGCCAUAAACAGGAUCAUCUUUGUCUACCAGGAGCAAGCCCGAUGCCAAUAACUUUAAAUAAACAUGAGCCCCAGGUUUGUAUUUACAUUGUCUGAGAUAACCGCUGGCGAGUUUGUCACAGCGCCGUCGGCCCCUCCCUGGCUAAGGUAGCGUCGGCUUUCCCACUGACCUUGUUUUUAGAGGCCUCGCUCAGGGAAAGGAUCUCACGUGUCGCCGAUGAGCGCUGCGCCCCGGGCUGGGCCGCAUUCUUUUGCACGGUUUUGGCGCUUUGUAGUUCUGUCAAGUUAGCAUGGCUUCCUUCUGUACCGGAUGGAGCAGGACAUGGGUCCGGGGCAGGAGCUCAGACACGGAAAUGACAUCACAGACCUGAGCUCUCGAUUCCCGCGAUGGCAAGGCUGCAGGUGCCAGUGGGCUCCAAGGAUUCUAUUACUAAUAGGGCUGUGACUUAGCUCUAUGGAAGCCAUCAGUGUUGAAUUGCGUUCCAUGUGGAAAAUAAAUAGAAUUUUGCA